CACUACGAAGCUAAUUUAGCAUUAACCUUUUAAGUUAAAGAUUGGAAGCUCAUUUUCCCGUGGUGA
rnacentral:tRNA from 1 species